CUAAGCCGAGGCCGAAAGGCGUAGGUGAUGGACAACAGGUUGAUAUUCCUGUACCACCAAUAACCGUUUGAGAAAUGGGAUGACACAGUAGGAUAAGCUAACCGCACUGUUGGUUAUGUGCGGGCAAGUAUUGAGGCAGUUCCGAUAGGCAAAUCCGUCGGAAUAAUGCUGGGGUACGAUGCGGAGCGAAAUUUAGUAGCGAAGUAGCUGAUUUCACACUGUCGAGAAAAGUCUCUAUCGAGGUUAAAGGUGCCUGUACCGCAAACCGACACAGGUGGGUGAGGAGAGUAUCCUAAGGCCAGCGAGAGAACUGUUGUUAAGGAACUCGGCAAAAUGACCCCGUAACUUCGGGAGAAGGGGUGCCUUCGAAAGAAGGCCGCAGAGAAUAGGCCCAAGCGACUGUUUACCAAAAACAUAGGUUUCUGCUAAGUCGCAAGACGAUGUAUAGGAGCUGACGCCUGCCCGGUGCUGGAAGGUUAAGGGGAUCUGUUAGAGCAAUCGAAGCAGUGAACUUAAGCCCCAGUAAACGGCGGCCGUAACUAUAACGGUCCUAAGGUAGCGAAAUUCCUUGUCGGGUAAGUUCCGACCCGCACGAAAGGCGUAACGAUUUGGGCACUGUCUCAACAACAGACUCGGUGAAAUUGUAAUACCGGUGAAGAUGCCGGUUACCUGCGACAGGACGGAAAGACCCCAUGGAGCUUUACUGUAGCUUGACAUUGAGUCUCGGUGCUACAUGUACAGGAUAGGUGGGAGACUAUGAAGCAUGGACGUCAGUCUGUGUGGAGUCAUCCUUGGGAUACCACCCUUGUAGUACUGGGAUUCUAACCAGAGGCCAUGAAUCUGGUCUUGGGACACUGUCAGGUGGACAGUUUGACUGGGGCGGUCGCCUCCCAAAAAGUAACGGAGGCGCUCAAAGGUUCUCUCAGUACGGUCGGAAAUCGUACGAAGAGUGUAAAGGCAAAAGAGAGCUUGAUUGCAAGACAUACAGGUCGAGCAAGGACGAAAGUCGGACUUAGUGAUCCGGUGGUACCGCAUGGAAGGGCCAUCGCUCAACGGAUAAAAGCUACCCUGGGGAUAACAGGCUGAUCUCCCCCAAGCGUCCACAGCGACGGGGAGGUUUGGCACCUCGAUGUCGGCUCGUCACAUCCUGGGGCUGUAUUCGGUCCCAAGGGUUCGGCUGUUCGCCGAUUAAAGUGGCACGCGAGCUGGGUUCAGA
rnacentral:rRNA from 1 species